GCCUGGGUGACUCAGUAGGUUGAGUGUCCAACUUUGGCUCAGGUCAUGAUCUCACCAUCUGUGGGUUCGAGCCCCGCCUCGGGCU
rfam:Felis catus isolate Cinnamon breed Abyssinian chromosome B3, whole genome shotgun sequence.